CCAGGCAGCGCGCUCCCAGUUCAAAAAAAAGGAGAAAACCCCACAAGAAGUUCUGACGUUCUCCCCCGGGCUCGAACCUCUCACCUUCCUUCAUUAACACACAAAACGCCGACUUCCUCCUUCAACUCGCCAGCACACACACACUGUAACGAUCGCAAACGCUGCAACAUUGUUUGUCCAGCUCGACAGCAAGAUGAGCUUGCGGUAGCACUGAGGCAAAAUGGCGACAUUUUAAAGAAGCAGGCAAACUCAGCUGGCCGCGUAAAAAAGAGGCAUAAAAACAUUUUGCAUCACCUGAAGUUGCCCCGAUCGAUCGACAAUCGCAAGAGUAAAAACAAAGAAAAAGGUGGAAAAUACGAGGCGGCGGCCAAAGGGAAGGGAGACUCUCACAAAAUCGGGCAUCUUACCUUAAAAUUUCUGGUUAGAUUAUUAUCUUCAGGGCCUUACAGUAGACUCUAUUCCUGGGUCAUGCGCGAUUCCACUUGUCCUUUGACAGUUGUACAGUGAGGAGGUAAGUUUCAACUCUCGCGUUACUAUUUAGUGCUGCACGAUUUUCAAGUUCCAGCACAAGCAGCAAAUCUGCAUUUUCAACGCUGCAAAUGUCUGCUUCGUGCCUGCCAAGAACAGACGACAGAUUACAUACUUGCAUCGAAUAUCAUUGCACAAAUAGGAUCCGCGACCCAAGUCGAAACUACAGAAGAACUGCCUCCACCUCCUUCACAAAUGUAACUUCGUGUUUAUGUAAUACUAUCUGCAGCAGUCUUUAUUUUGUCCAAACUCGACUAAAACUAUUUUUUUCCAAAUAUAAACAAAAAUUUGCUUCAACAACAAGGCCCUUAGUAUCUCAAAAUAUUUUACGAGACGAGAUUUGACAACGCCUACCGACAACUCGAGACCAGCCCAAUUUAUGUCCAAGAUAAAAGUAGAAAAAUCUCUUCGGGGCAUAAAGUGCUUUGUGUUUUCAUGUUUAGUCUGAACAACCACUUUUGAAAAUCAUGUCUUAUUUUGAACUAAAAACAAAGCAUCAACAUGGAUGGACCAGAAUAGAUCAUUGGUGACACAUACACCAAGAAACUUGAAACUCUCGACCACCUCCACCUCAGCACCAUUGAUACAGACAGGGGUGCAUCCUCCACUCCACUUGCUGAAGUUGAUGAACAACUCAUAUUGCUAACAUCCCAAGAGAGAAUGUUGUCUUUGCAUCAUGCCACUAAGCUGGCUGCCCCUUUCGUGUACUCUGAUCUGAUCUACAGAGGUGGCAUCAUCAGCAGAUUUGACAAAUGACAAUAGAGUGUGCAGAAGAGCCAUUAAAAUAUCUGUUAGGUCCUCGCUGGCAUGAGUUUGGAGCAUGAUUUCACCAGGGAUGGACAGCAAAUCAAGUGAAGUUCCCAAUUGUGAUUUCCAGAAAAGCAAUUAGAAUCCAAUUGAAGAGGUAGGAGCAUCCUGGAAAUGUUCAAAGGCAUACAAUCUGCUCAGACUUAACAAGUGGAUCAGCUUUUCAAAAAGUUUACGCCACUGUUGCCGAUAAUAAUAGUGACUGACAAUGACUGUAUGUGCCCAAUAACAACCUUUCAAGAGACAUCUAGAGCCAUCCUUUGGAUUCCCACAGUGAAAAAAAAAUGGUUGUGGUGGAAGGAAUGGUGGAAGGCUUUGCCAUAGUAGAAGAAAAACAUAGUAAGAUAUUGCUUUACCACAACACAAGCAAAGGAUUAGAAAACAUUUUCAAAAGUUUUACAUCCAAGCAGAUGACUGAACUGAAUCUCAUUUUUUUUGGCCAUGUGUGAGUUGUGUUGAUUUUUUGUUAUGGUAUUUUGCCACAUGGCCUGGCAAAUUUUCUCACUGCAUUUUACCAUUUUUGGCUCAUUAAUUGCCUCCCCUGCACUUAUGACAUCCUUCCCAUUAGGUCUAACUCCAUCUUACCACAGAUCACUCCAGGAGCAAAUUGCUACUGUAAAGAAUAUCGUGGAAUUGAUAGAAGCCCCUAGCAGAUACCUUUUUUAAAAGGCCGUUGUGCACUGUCAUUCCGAGGUGGCCCUAUGUGGUUUCAGGUAUCUUGAAUUUAUCAGCAGUCACACAUAUUACAGUUAUCCUUCCUUUUAGUCAGUAUUCUCACCUGGAUGUGUUUUUUCCACUGUGUGGGAGUCAUAGGGCUUUCAACCUGUGUUCAAUUCUGCAUCCUUAAUUUCAUACCACCUCCCUACUUUGCCAAAGAAGCUCCUUAAACUGGCAGCUUGUCUGUGUGUUCUGUGUUUGCAGUUGGUGAGGUUCCAUUUUCAACAUGUGGCCAUUCUCAUAAAGGUUUUAAUCAAAGCAUGGAAACAUAGAAAUAUAGAAAUGAAGGAGAUGAUGGGCUUUCCUGGCCUCUCCAAGGGGAAACUGCAGGCUGGUUUCGUUGCCUUUGGAGAAUUUCAGUUUUGCUGUUUCAUCCAUGUAACUUUUCUGAAAUUGUGAUGUCACAAUGGUGAUUUUAAGUCAGAGUUUUUGCUCCUUUUAAGAUUAUUUUAAAUUGAGUGCUGGAAAUCAAAACAAAAUGGUCGAUAUUUUGAAUAAUCAUGACACAAACAUUGAAUUCAAAUCCGACAUUAACUUCCCAGACGAAAAACAUGAGUCAAAUGAGAUCAAGCCUGAUGUCAAAUGAUAUCCUAAUCAUGACAGAAGAGUUACUUCAAUGACUAAUCACAUGAUGAUUGCCCUCUGCCUGUUUCUAUUCAUCACAAUCUGAUGGAACUUAGCCUUCAACAUUUGUAAUAAAACAGUUACCCUGGGAUACUGCCAGCUCCAGCACCUCCAACUCCAGGACUGUGAUGAGUGGAACAGAAUUAACCAGUUGGUCAAGUGCCUUGAGAUUGUUCCAUGGACGGAGAUCAAAGCAGCAUAGUCUUCACUGAUGACCUCUAAUUUUAUUUCCACGUUAUCAGAAGAUAAUUGAACUGAAGAUUGUAUCACCUAUUAUAUCACUUAUAGUUCAUGAUAAAAAGCUGCCUUUUCUGACUGGCUCUACAGUACUCCCUUAAUCUUAGAUCAGGAACUUUAAGUGCCUCUUAACGAAAACAAAAUUACUUUAUCAUAAUUUUCUGUGAAUAUGGUGUUGCAUUGCAAGAAUUGAUAAUGCUAUAAUGCCAUAACACCAGGAUUAAAGGAAUUAAAAUCCAUCUAUUGUCAAUAUAGUUUAUGUCCUACAAAUACAAAAUCAAAAUACUAUUGCUUUCAGAAUACUAAUAUAAAAGCAGAAGAUGGUGGAAAUACUCAGCAGGUCAGGCACUUUCUGCAGAGAGAGGAACUGAAUUUCCAUUUCAGGUCUGAGAUCUGGGUUCUGCUGAUAGAAGACAGACAUAGCAUGGUUCUGUCUUUGUCGAUGCUGGUGGACCUACUGGAUAUUGACAGUACAUUUUUGAUUCCAUAUUGUGGUCUUAAAUAUGCUGCCCACCCAAAUCUAUCUAGCUUCAUUCAAUACCUUUUUGUAAGUGAAUUAAUAUCAAACAAGUUUUGUGCCAAUUCCCUGGCAAGUUGUGCGGGUUUAGCUUUGUAUCCAAACUCUAAUUUACAUUAUUAGAUCAUGUGCACAUCAAUGCUGCUUCUUACAUGUUUGCAUUCUAUAUUUCUCAAUCUUUCUUCUUUACCAGAUAGCUAACUCCAUUUUUAUUAUGACUAUCAAUAUUUUAAAGCUGAUUUCAGGGAAUUAUGUGCUUUUAUAGUGCUCAAUUUAUUCCUGUGUCUAUUUGUAUUCCACACUUUGCUCUGCUGGAUACACCCUCUUCCUUUCCUGAACAAUUUUAGCCAUUUGUAAUGAAGCACACCAGUUUUCUAAAUUUAAUUUUCCUUUGUUCCUUGCUUGAAAGAACAUCA